rnacentral:lncRNA from 1 species
AUGGGUGCGCUGGGGCGCGCAGGAGCCCUGCUGUGGUCCCUUCUCCCCGCACCUCCUUUGUCCUCUGCCCCUCUCCAUCGCGGACCCUUCCCCGGGGACAAACGGCGAGCAUCUCCGUGUCACCGCGGUGCUGCACGUCCCCGUGCUCGGGGCCCACUUCCCAGCCCCUCUGCCCCCACCCCAGCUCAACCACCCCUGGAAAGACCCCAGCCCCUCGCCCCCAGCCCUUGCACCUACCUCCGCCAGCCGGGACCCCGAAGCCCGGGGCGGGAACCGGAGUCCGUGUGGGGCCUGGGGCGCUGGCGGUGGGGCAAUGCUGCCGCCUCGCCCGUGGUUGCGCCGCCGCCGGGGGCAGGAAGCGGCGAGCGAAGGAGCUGCACCGCGCGGCGAGGAGGGGCCGACGUCACGGAAAGGCGGCGUGGGGCUGCGGGUGGCACCGGCGCCGGCGGGGGCACUUUGGGGACGUCUCCUUGCCCUCCUCCCCCUCUGCCCCGAGCACCUUCGGCUGCUGAUUUCAUGCUGCAAAGCCUUGAGGGGUCACCAGAGGAGCGCGGGUUGUGCCCGGUGAUGCCCGUGCUGAUGGGGGCAAGCUGCAGCCGGGGGGGCUGGGGCUGCAGCCACCCCCUUGGCCGCCCGCCCCGCGGCACGUCUGCACCCACAAAAAGCUCUUUAUUUGUCCCAUCUGCGCCCUGGUUCCCCCCCGCGGGGCCCAGCCCUGCAGCUGCACAGAGCUUUGGGGCUGGAGCAGGUUUGCAGCCCUGGCGCCGGGGCUUUGCGCGGAGCCCACGGCGCGUCCCCAGCCCACGGCCGCGGUGGGCCGGCGCGAUGCCCCCCGGCGCUCUCCACCUUAAGAAACCCGUCCCUCCUCUCUACCUUCACACCCUCCGCUCCGUUUCCCCUCUGGGCAGUUGGGUUACAAUAUUUUUAUCGGCCAGGCAGGUUUCCUGUUUGCAAUCCUCGCGCUCACGGGUGCGGACGGAGCGACCGCGGCGGUGGGAGCGAAGGCUCGCUCGGCCCCGGGACCGAUCCUGCCGGCUCCCGGCCACUCCUCGAGGGGCCGAGGCGCAGAAACGCCGAGCGAUGUGA